rfam:Gorilla gorilla gorilla genomic chromosome, chr12, whole genome shotgun sequence
GCUGGGCAUGGUGGCAUGUGCCUCUAGUCCCAGUUACUUGGGAGGCUGAAGCAGGAGGAACCCCUGAGCCCAAAAGUUCUGGGCUGUAGUGAGCUAUGCCAAUUGAGUGUCUGCACUAAGUUCAGCAUCAGUAUGGUAACCUCCUGUUAGCGGGGCCUACGGGGCUGGCAAAGGAGGGGUGAAUGGACCCAGGUCGGAAGCAGAGCAGGUUAUAACUCCGGCGCAGAUCAGUAGUUGGAUCGCCUGUGAAUAGCCACUGCACUCCAGCCUGGGCAACAUAGCAAGACCCUAUUUUUA